UCGCUGGCGGCGGCCGCAGGAUUUAGGGGUGGGCGCGGGCGGGCGCGCGCGGGCGGGCACGCGAAGUUAAAAUUCGAGGUUCUCAGUCGCCAGCUUCUUUGCUGGAGUGCGCGGACGGGCGCGCCGCCCGGAGCGUUCCAUCCCGCCCCCUCCUCCACCCUCUCUCCCGUCCCGUCCCGGGCGACUACUCGCCCGCCCCCUGGCUCGCAUCCUUCCCCCCCCAACACACCCCUACCCUGCCAGCCCCAGGCCGGGUGCAGGCAGAACGAUGUCGCUGCAGCCUCCUCGCCAUCCCAUGCCGCGGGGGAGCAAGCCCCUACCCACCGGGCGUGCACCCCCCGGCUCCACACUCGCCCGUGUCUGCAAGCACGUGCACCGUUCGCCGCUGCCUCCGGCCACCCCGGUCCCCGGCUAACCUCGCCUGCAGCCCGGCCAAUCGCUCGCUGCCCUUUGUUGCUGCAGCCUGGGUCUCCCUGCUGCCUUCCUCAGCCUCCGCCUCGUCCUUUGCCAGCCGCCCGGGUCCGCAGCGCCGCGCUCCCCCCGCCCGGGACCCACCGCCGCCGCCUCCUUCUCCUCCUCCGCCUCCUCCUCCUCGGCUCCGGGCUGCAGCGCACAGAGCCCGAGGCAGCGCCGCCCAGCCCCGCUCCCCCCGCGCCGCCCGCCAGCCCGCCCGGCCUGGCCGGGGGCGCAGCCCGGACCCCGCCCGCCCCAGUCUCCGCCCCGGGGGUACCUGCCUCCGCCCCGGGGGGCUCCUCUCGCCGCCCUCGGGGGAGGGCGGGGACGCUGGUGUCCGCGGGAGGAUGGGGACGCCUGGGCCGUUUGGGGCGGGGAGUGUGCCCGCCGGGGCUGGGACUGAGGUGCGGUCCUCGCCAACGCGCCCCCCCUCCCGUCGCUAUGGGCCCCAAACUUCGUCCUUUGCCCAGGCUUUGCGCCCUCGGGCGAUCGCGGCAGUUUUGGGGUGGGGGACGCCUGAAGAGCUGUGUCUACCCUGAUCGGGAGGAAGAGGGAGCAGUGACAUUCAGCGACUGCGGACAGGGCACGGCGGCGGCAUCCUUGGGUGGGAGUGGGGAUGUCAGAUGCGGGCUGGAGGGGGGAGCUGCCCCCCAGGAUGCCCUCUCCCUGCCUGCGAGUAGCUGGCGAGCUCAGUCGCGUUCUGGGUGCUUUCUUGGGCGGUGCAGACGGAUGGCAGAGGGGCUGAGGCGGGAGGGGGGCGGGGAAGACCGCUGGGGGGCCCUUCCCCCCUCUCUUUUAGUCAGCGCUCUAAGGAAGGCUGAUGGCGAAGUUCGGUUUUCCAGGCUUCCCCUGGGCCCCCCGAGUUCCUGA
rnacentral:lncRNA from 1 species